GGCGGGGCUGGACCGUGCUCCAUGAAAGAGCGCAAAUGGUGUGAGGCAACAAGCGCACAUGUGCGGUUUGGUAGGGCCACUGCUGAUGAAAAAUCUCCGACUUGCGGCACUGGGAUAAGCCCAACACCUUCAGUGGAGCACCCACGGGGACACUCAUCUCGAAGAACAGACAUUACUGCACCAGGAGCUGUACAUGACCUUUAUCGAUCUGACCAAAGCCUUUGACUGUGUCAACCAUGAGGCUCUGUGGAAAAUCAUGUCAAAGUUCGGCUGCCCAAGCAUUCCGAAACUGGACAGACGUUUGAAUCAGAGCUUCUUACAAAUCUGAGAUGAGCUUCCUCAGAAAUAACGCACCACUUCACCUUAGAAUCAUAGAGUUGGAAGAGACC